rnacentral:rRNA from 1 species
AACGAACGCUGGCGGCAUGCCUAACACAUGCAAGUCGAACGAGACCUUCGGGUCUAGUGGCGCACGGGUGCGUAACGCGUGGGAACCUGCCCUUAGGUUCGGAAUAACUCCCCGAAAGGGGUGCUAAUACCGGAUAAUGUCUUCGGACCAAAGAUUUAUCGCCUUUGGAUGGGCCCGCGUUGGAUUAGCUAGUUGGUAGGGUAAAAGCCUACCAAGGCGACGAUCCAUAGCUGGUCUGAGAGGAUGAUCAGCCACACUGGGACUGAGACACGGCCCAGACUCCUACGGGAGGCAGCAGUGGGGAAUAUUGGACAAUGGGCGAAAGCCUGAGCCAGCAAUGCCGCGUGAGUGAUGAAGGCCUUAGGGUUGUAAAUCUCUUUUACCCGGGAUGAUAAUGACAGUACCGGGAGAAUAAGCUCCGGCUAACUCCGUG